rnacentral:misc_RNA from 1 species
CCAAUAGCGUAUAUUAAAGUUGUUGCAGUUAAAAAGCUCGUAGUUGAAUUUCGGGGUUAGUAGGUUGGUCAUGCCUCUGGUAUGUACUGGUCUCACUGAUUCCUCCUUCCUGAUGAACCGUAAUGCCAUUAAUUUGGUGUUGCGGGGAAUUUGGACUGUUACUUUGAAAAAAUUAGAGUGUUUAAAGCAAGCUAACGCUUGAAUACAUUAGCAUGGAAUAAUGAAAUAGGACGUUCGAUCCUAUUUUGUUGGUUUCUAGGAUUAACGUAAUGAUUAAUAGGGAUAGUUGGGGGCAUUAGUAUUCAAUUGUCAGAGGUGAAAUUCUUGGAUUUAUUGAAGACUAACUACUGCGAAAGCAUUUGCCAAGGAUGUUUUCAUUAAUCAAGAACGAAAGUUAGGGGAUCGAAGACGAUCAGAUACCGUCGUAGUCUUAACCAUAAACUAAGCCGACUAGGGAUCGGAUGAUGUUAAUUUUUUAAUGACUCAUUCGGCGCCUUACG